rnacentral:rRNA from 1 species
GACGAACGCUGGCGGCGUGCCUAACACAUGCAAGUCGAACGGAACUGUUUUGAAAGAUUUCUUCGGAAUGAAUUUGAUUUAGUUUAGUGGCGGACGGGUGAGUAACGCGUGAGUAACCUGCCUUCAAGAGGGGAAUAACAUUCUGAAAAGAAUGCUAAUACCGCAUGACAUAUCGGAACCACAUGGUUUUGAUAUCAAAGAUUUUAUCGCUUGAAGAUGGACUCGCGUCCGAUUAGUUAGUUGGUGAGGUAACGGCUCACCAAGACCGCGAUCGGUAGCCGGACUGAGAGGUUGAACGGCCACAGUGGGACUGAGACACGGCCCAGACUCCUACGGGAGGCAGCAGUGGGGGAUAUUGCGCAAUGGGGGCAACCCUGACGCAGCAACGCCGCGUGAAGGAGGAAGGUUUUCGGAUUGUAAACUUCUUUUAUUAAGGACGAAAAAUGACGGUACUUAAUGAAUAAGCUCCGGCUAACUACGUG